AGAGUUUGAUCCUGGCUCAGGAUGAACGCUAGCUACAGGCUUAACACACGCAAGUCGAGGGGCAGCAUGUUGGUUGCUUGCAACCAACGAUGGCGACCGGCGCACGGGUGGGUAACGCGUAUCCAACCUACCCUUGUCCAUCGGAUAACCCGUCGAAAGGCGGCCUAACACGGUAUGCGGUUCACAGCAGGCAUCUAACGUGAACGAAAUGUAAAGGAGAAGGAUGGGGAUGCGUCUGAUUAGCUUGUUGGCGGGGUAACGGCCACCAAGGCGACGAUCAGUAGGGGUUCUGAGAGGAAGGUCCCCCACAUUGGAACUGAGACACGGUCCAAACUCCUACGGGAGGCA
rnacentral:rRNA from 1 species